rnacentral:rRNA from 1 species
CAAACUGAAGAUGGCGACCGGCGCACGGGUGAGUAACACGUAUCCAACCUGCCGAUAACUCCGGAAUAGCCUUUCGAAAGAAAGAUUAAUACCGGAUGGCAUACGAAUAUCGCGUGAUAUUUUUAUUAAAGAAUUUCGGUUAUCGAUGGGGAUGCGUUCCAUUAGUUUGUUGGCGGGGUAACGGCCCACCAAGACUACGAUGGAUAGGGGUUCUGAGAGGAAGGUCCCCCACAUUGGAACUGAGACACGGUCCAA